rnacentral:rRNA from 1 species
GAGUUUGAUCCUGGCUCAGAUUGAACGCUGGCGGCAUGCCUUACACAUGCAAGUCGAACGGCAGCAUGAUCUAGCUUGCUAGAUUGAUGGCGAGUGGCGAACGGGUGAGUAAUACAUCGGAACGUGCCCUGUAGUGGGGAUAACUAGUCGAAAGAUUAGCUAAUACCGCAUACGACCUGAGGGUGAAAGUGGGGGACCGCAAGGCCUCAUGCUAUAGGAGCGGCCGAUGUCUGAUUAGCUAGUUGGUGGGGUAAAGGCCCACCAAGGCGACGAUCAGUAGCUGGUCUGAGAGGACGAUCAGCCACACUGGGACUGAGACACGGCCCAGACUCCUACGGGAGGCAGCAGUGGGGAAUUUUGGACAAUGGGCGAAAGCCUGAUCCAGCAAUGCCGCGUGUGUGAAG